UGCAAAUAAAUUAUCAAAAUGAUAAUAAAUUGUAUUCUGCUUUGUAAAAUGAUCACCGCUCUUCGGCUAUGUAAGACGAAUUGUGAUAGUUGACAUAUGAAUUCUUAUUUCCAAAAUACAUAAUACUAUAUUAAUACUAUCGCGGCGAAAGACCCACGUAUACACUCGCAUACGCAUUUAAUAUGAACAUAGCAAACGACGAAGAAGUAAGUGAGAAAGAUAAAGAUAAAGAAAGUGAGAGUGAGCGAGAGACGGAAAAGUAAUUUUCGAUGUAAAAUACACAUUAUAUUAUAAUAUAAAUACUAUGGGACUAUAUCGUGCGUGCGCAUGUAUCGAAAAUGCAGACAGGCACAAUGUAAUAGUGUGCGUAUAAUCUGCGCACAUGUCUCUGCACGUCGUACAUGCAUAUGUGUGAGGGGAUUGUAUAUCGUCACAUGUGUGUGCGUGUAUUUUGUGUGUGUGCGUGUAUAGAGUGGUAUGCGAAUAUCUGCGUAUGUAUACAUACGGUUAUUGCAUAAUUAUUAUGUACCCAGUGUGUAUGUAUGCAUACGCAAACGGGGGCGCAUGCGUAUGUCAUCGCCUGCUCGUCAAAUCACCGAUCAAUUGUGUACUGGACUGAUUUAUCUAUCAUUCGGCUUAUCAUUCGAUAGAUUUUAACGAUGAUGAUCAUGAUGAUAAACAAAAAAGGAAAUGAUGUUAUGGUGGUCUAUGUUAGAGAGAUAGGACGAGCGUCGUGAAGGGAAACAGU